CCUACGGGUGGCAGCAGUGAGGAAUAUUGGUCAAUGGACGAGAGUCUGAACCAGCCAAGUAGCGUGAAGGAUGACUGCUCUAUGGGUUGUAAACUUCUUUUAUAUGGGAAUAAAAUGUUCCACGUGUGGGAUUUUGUAUGUACCAUACGAAUAAGGAUCGGCUAACUCCGUGCCAGCAGCCGCGGUAAUACGGAGGAUCCGAGCGUUAUCCGGAUUUAUUGGGUUUAAAGGGAGCGUAGGUGGAUUGUUAAGUCAGUUGUGAAAGUUUGCGGCUCAACCGUAAAAGUGCAGUUGAAACUGGCAGUCUUGAGUACAGUAGAGGUGGGCGGAAUUCGUGGUGUAGCGGUGAAAUGCUUAGAUAUCACGAAGAACACCGAUUGCGAAGGCAGUUCACUGGACUGCAACUGACAGUGAGGCUCGAAAGUGUGGGUAUCAAACAGGAUUAGAUACCCUUGUAGUC
rnacentral:rRNA from 1 species